rnacentral:tRNA from 2 species
AGGGGCGUAGCUCAAUUGGCAGAGCGCUGGAUUCCAAAUCCAGAUGUUGAGAGUUCGAGUCCCUCCGCCCCUGC